GACGAACGCUGGCGGCGUGCUUAACGCAUGCCAGUCGAACGGAAAGGCCCUGCUUUUGUGGGGUGCUCGAGUGGCGAACGGGUGAGUAACACGUGAGUAACCUGCCCUUGACUUUGGGAUAACUUCAGGAAACUGGGGCUAAUACCGGAUAGGAGCUCCUGCUGCAUGGUGGGGGUUGGAAAGUUUCGGCGGUUGGGGAUGGACUCGCGGCUUAUCAGCUUGUUGGUGGGGUAGUGGCUUACCAAGGCUUUGACGGGUAGCCGGCCUGAGAGGGUGACCGGCCACAGUGGGACUGAGAUACGGCCCAGACUCCUACGGGAGGCAGCAGUGGGGAAUAUGGCACAAUGGGCGGAAGCCUGAUGCAGCAACGCCGCGUGCGGGAUGACGGCCUUCGGGUUGUAAACCGCUUUCGCCUGUGACGAAGCGUGAGUGACGGUAAUGGGUAAAGAAGCACCGGCUAACUACGUG
rnacentral:rRNA from 1 species